AUUGAACGCUGGCGGCAGGCCUAACACAUGCAAGUCGAACGAGUGGCGGACGGGUGAGUUUUGUCUGGGAAACUGCCUUAUGGAGGGGGAUGUCUACUGGAAACUGUCUCUAAUACCGCAUCCCCUUGGAUGCGCCCAGAUGGGAUUAGCUAGUAGGUGGGGUAAAGGCUCACCUAGGCGACGAUCCCUAUCUGGUCUGAGAGGAUGACCAGCCACACUGGAACUGAGACACGGUCCAGACUCCUACGGGAGGCAGCAGUGGGGAAUAUUGCACAAUGGGCGCAAGCCUGAUGCAGCCAUGCCGCGUGUAUGAAGAAGGCCUUCGGGUUGUAAAGUACUUUCAGCGGGGAGGCGUUACCCGCAGAAGAAGCACCGGCUAACUCCGUGCCAGCAGCCGCGGUAAUUC
rnacentral:rRNA from 1 species